GCCGUUCCAGGCUAGACAUAGCGUCGCUCGGAGUGUAAUAACACGUGAGCAACCUGCCCCUGACUCUGGGGAUAAGCGGUGGAAACGCCGUCUAAUACCGGAUACGACCUUCCACCUCAUGGUGGAGGGUGGAAAGUUUUUUCGGUCAGGGAUGGGCUCGCGGCCUAUCAGCUUGUUGGUGGGGUAACGGCCUACCAAGGCGAUUACGGGUAGCCGGCCUGAGAGGGCGACCGGCCACACUGGGACUGAGACACGGCCCAGACUCCUGCGGGAGGCAGCAGUGGGGAAUAUUGCGCAAUGGGCGAAAGCCUGACGCAGCGACGCCGCGUGGGGGAUGACGGCCUUCGGGUUGUAAACCUCUUUUACCACCAACGCAGGCUCCGGGUUCUCUCGGGGUUGACGGUAGGUGGGGAAUAAGGACCGGCUAACUACGUGCCAGCAGCCGCGGUAAUACGUAGGGUCCGAGCGUUGUCCGGAAUUAUUGGGCGUAAAGAGCUCGUAGGCGGCGUGUCGCGUCUGCUGUGAAAGACCGGGGCUUAACUCCGGUUCUGCAGUGGAUACGGGCAUGCUAGAGGUAGGUAGGGGAGACUGGAAUUCCUGGUGUAGCGGUGAAAUGCGCAGAUAUCAGGAGGAACACCGGUGGCGAAGGCGGGUCUCUGGGCCUUACCUGACGCUGAGGAGCGAAAGCAUGGGGAGCGAACAGGAUUAGAUACCCUGGUAGUCCAUGCCGUUAACGUUGGGCGCUAGGUGUGGGGACUUUUCCCGGUUUCC
rnacentral:rRNA from 1 species